UACGGGGGGAGCAAGCGUUGUUCGGAUUUACUGGGCGUAAAGGGCGCGUAGGCGGCCACCGCAAGUCGACUGUGAAAUCUCCGGGCUUAACCCGGAAAGGUCAGCCGAUACUGCGGGGCUAGAGUGCAGAAGGGGCAACUGGAAUUCUCGGUGUAGCGGUGAAAUGCGUAGAUAUCGAGAGGAACACCUGCGGCGAAGGCGGGUCUCUGGGCUGACACUGACGCUCAUGCACGAAAGCGUGGGGAGCAAACAGG
rnacentral:rRNA from 1 species